ACACAGCUGUUAAAAACUCAAGAGUUUUUCUGUGUUUUUACUAUUGCUGCUCUAAAUUUUCACCUUUGAAAGGCUCUUAUGUAUCCCAAACCUAACCGUUGGACCUACACUGCAGAGAAACAACUCAGCCUUUUAGCCCCUGGAAAGAGUCAAUAGUCUUUAAUUCUAAGAACUCAUAAUGCUUUUUAUGAAGCACACUUUCAUGUGUUCUUCCAAACAUUAUCUCUCCUCUUUUGCUCCCCCAGCAAAACACUGAACACUUCAUACUUUCUGUGUGCAACACUUUAUUGCCACCACCGCCAUCCUGGUUGUGCCUUUCAGCUUCGGUGUUCUGCUUUGCCUUUUUCUAUAACUCCUUAACAAUAGUUUCCAGCUACUUAUGUCUUUCCUUUUUUUUUCUUCUUACCCCUUUCUUGGAUAAUUUCUCCUUUCUGUCUCUUCUAUCAAGUAUUUUGCAACAACAAAAACAGUAUCUGAUUAGUCCCUGUGAUUUCCUCUCCUAGUAACUUGUAUAGAGAAAACAUACUUUGACAGAUACUUCAGGCAGAUAAUGAGGAUUUUGGAGAUGGGUGGUCAUGUGGUGCUUGAAAUCCCUGCUGUAAUGAAUAACAGCCUUUCCCCAACUGGAUGUGUUCCAUUUCACUUUGUUUAAAUGUCUGUCUCAGCUUCGCAGACUAUAGAGUAGGAUCGAGUUCCUCUGAAAAGUUUUCAAUUAUCACCAUGUUCCCAAACAAUCAAAGCAAAAAUGUAUCAGGAGGCGGGGGGGAAUGCAAACAAUUAAAAUUUUUAUUUCAAAAGUCUUAAACCACUUUGGUUGCUUAACAUAGCAAGAAAAGUUAUUUGAAUGGAGCCUAAUGAACUAAUUUUGACAGUCCUGUGCUUGUCAAGCAUUGUUUUUUAACCCUUUAAAUCAAUACAGUGCAUUGCUUUCAUUUCUAAGCAGUGAGGAGAAAUAAGUGAAACACUUUAAUUGAAAACUGAACUUGUAUAUUCAGCAUAAGAAAAAAAAAAGACAGGGAGCAGAAAAUGUUUCCUUUGCAUCAGCAGAUGAUGAAAAGUUUUCUCCUCUUCUGUGAGAACGUGACUUGAUUUUCAUUCCUCAGUGUCAGUGUAUUACAUCCAUUCACAGUCCUCUAGAAAUCUUUUUUUCCCCUCAACUUUGGAUGUUUACAUUCUUUUUAAACCUCAGGGCAUGGGAUGGCAGCACAACACCUGCCCUGCAGGAGGCUGGCCCCUGGAUUUAAACUACUCAAUACAGUGGGGGGGCCUGGCAUGAGGAGGGUAAUCAUGGUAAUUGAAACACAGCCCUGUGAGACUGGAUGACUGAUGGCUGCCUGACUGUGGCUUCAGGAGAUGGCCUUCCACAAUGUCCCGUCAGGUGAGAGCAGGUGUUGCUUUACUGAAAGGAAAGACUCCAACAGAUUAAUGUCCUGGUACCUACAUGAAGAGAUUUGGUAAAAAUCUCAUCUUCUGUGUUGGUAGAUGUUUCCAGCCAUAUUGUAUUGCUUCUCACUAGGGAUAAAAACCCACAGGGCUGACACCCAAGUCAGUCAGCACCAUUUUGCACCCACGCUCUUCAGCAGGAAUGCAGGUAUUUGGUGGGUAAAAGAAGGCUCUUGAACUUUAUGGAGGUGAUCUUUUUUCUUUUCUUGUGCCUCAUCCCAAACCCGGGCCUGGGAUACUGGCUGGGGCUAGUUUUCUGUGCAGAGUGGCCAGUUGUCAUCAUCUUGAAAAGCUUCCCAGGGAACAGGAAUUAGGAGACGUGAUCUAAAUUUGACACUGUUUCCUUCUUUCUUUACAGCUCAUCAUCCUACUCUGUAGUGUUUAGAAGAUAUUUCCAACACAGUGAAAAGCUAUGGUAAAAUGAAAUUGCCAAUUGAAAAGAAAACUCCCAUGGUAGAUCUGAGGAAAACCUUUCUCCUUAACUAUUGGCAGUCCAAACCCAUUGGAAAGGAGAGCUUUCCAGUGCUCAACUACUACCAAGCUCAACAGAGUUUCCUCACUGACUGGCUAGAGAGGAAAAAAGGAGCUGAUACCAGGAGAUGACAAAGGAAAGGCCUGUCAGCUGAAACUGUGCCCAGGACGUAGUGCAAUGUUUCAGGGAUUCUAUACAAAAUUAAACGGGGUGAUUGCUAUUCAUUAGUUAACUACCAGGGCUUGCCAGGUACCACCCUGACAUGCUACAAAAAGAGCAAUAAUUGUUGUAAAGGGCUGGUGGUCCAAAGCACUUUCAACCUUCUGCCUGCUUCAGAAGCUGAGAGACUGCAGUACAAGUUAGUUACGUCCCUUUGUAAGACUUUACAAAAACCUGUGCAUUAUAUAUGAACCUAAUCUGCACAAAUUUAUUCAUGGAUUUGUUUCUAUUGUAAGAAGUUCCUGUUACGCAUAUACUCAUUUGCAGAAUGUAGGCUGUCAUUCUGGCUUGUCAUGAUAUAUGCCAAAGUGCAACCCUCCAAGUUACAUCAGUUCUUUGUCAGCCGAUGGACAAUUUCUAGUGAUUUAAUAAGUGCAGUUCUGAUUACUCAUGUACUUAGGUUUUCUUUUGCUGCUUUAUGUGGGUUUUGAGUUUGGAUGAACAAUGCAGCAGCUCUGCAGGAAGUUAGAUAUAAUGAAAAACUAAGAAAAUUGGAAUUUCUUCUAAAAUGAGAAAUUGCAGAUUAUUUAUUAGGUAAACAAUAUGGCUCAAGAGAAGUAGGCCAUUUCCAUUUUUAACUGUGCCUAAAUAGAAGCUCCAAGGUUCAAAUAUCAUCAGCUUUGCAGAAACAGAUUUUAAUUUCCCCCUGUGUUUUUAAUUUGUGUACCAGCUUGACCUUGAAGGCCUGCCAAAGAUAUAAAACUAUCUUCUGAAAAUGCCGGAGAAAUUAUAAAAGCUAUGGGAGCUAGGUGAUGAUGGGCAUUUGAAAAUCCCAUGUAUACCCAUCUACAUUUUUAGGCACCUAAAAGAAAAAUCUAUCUUCAAAUCUGCAAAGCAAUCAGUUGCUCAUUGGAUCUCUGUGAUGGCAGAUUUAAAGAUCUGCAGGUGCACUAAUAAGAAAUCAGCAGGAUCUGAAGCAACAUGAAUAGCUGUGUUAUAUGAAAGAACUGAAAUGGUAAACUGGCAUAGGCUGCAGGAAUGAGUCAGAGAAAAAGUGUCUGGUGAAGCUUGAGGAGCAGAAGCUCCAUAGGGACCAUAAGGAAAUAUUUGAUUUGGCAUGGUUUUGAUGCUCUUUUUCUGUUAUCAUUACUGUUUGGGUCAUAUGUUUUACACUAGAUAAUCUUAUAAUUUUUUUCCCAGACCAGAUUCAGAGGUUCAAUGGAUGGCAGUGGAUUAAACACAAUUGACACACAUGAUAAAGCAAUACAGCAGUAAUUGUGGUUUUUUUUUUUAAACUGUGCUGUUGAGAAGAAAGGCUUGGGAUUCAGGCAUUGUCUGUGAGACAUGCAGAUUAUAGAGGGGAGAAAAAGUCUAUAGAAACCAUACCAAAAUAGUCUUAAUUACUACACUGGUUUGUAGUGCCCAAGUCAUUGAGAAGGAUAAGAAUGGCAGAGAAAGUGCAAACAAAAUGAAGGUGAAGGAACACAAAAUUAAUUCUGUUUUCCCUUAUCUCCAAGUCCUGCCUGUGGUUUCUCUACCUUAAAAAGAUAUUCUUGAAGUACCAUUUCAUUCAACGGAUACAUGAUACCUAUAUCAAAGGCAGCCUAAUACUUUGCAGGACUAAGUUAGAUAUUCCCAGCUGCAGGGUUUUUCUGUCUGUGAUUAUGGAAAUUCAUUUGUACUGCUUUUUUAGCUCAGUGGCCCAUUGUGCUUGCUCUAGUUUUUUAGCCUGCAAGAACAAUGACAGUCAUUUUAUGAGAAUGAGGUUGUAAAUCACUUACUUUUGCACUUCAGUGUCUUCCCCCAGCGUUCUCUGAGAGCAUCCGAGAGAGCUUCGGCCUGGAGGACAUUACUUCACUGCUCUGUCCCUACAAGUGCCACUGGCGUCUCAUUGGUUUUAAUUUGUCUGUGUGUUAAAGAUAGUUUUUCUGAAUUUCCAGUCACUGUCGCUUUGCAGUGCUCUUUAAAAUAUAUGUAGAAAGGAAUUACCUCUUGCCCAGAAUGACAUACAAACUUGAGAAGCAAUUUUGGAUUUCCUUCAUUAAUGUAUUCUGAUGUGGGUUUUAAAAAUCCUAUU